rnacentral:tRNA from 1 species
AACGGCGUAGUUUAAUUUAAGAUAGUUGUUUUGCGUACAUCAGAUGGGUGCUCCUCGCUGUUA